GACGAAGGGGGCUAGCGUUGUUCGGAAUUACUGGGCGUAAAGAGCACGUAGGCGGUUUGGUAAGUUGGAAGUGAAAGCCCGGGGCUUAACCUCGGAACUGCUUUCAAAACUGCCAAGCUAGAGUGUAGUAGGGGAUGAUGGAAUUCCUAGUGUAGGGGUGAAAUUCUUAGAGAUUAGGAGGAACACCGGUGGCGAAGGCGGUCAUCUGGGCUACAACUGACGCUGAGGCGCGAAAGCGUGGGGAGCAAACAGG
rnacentral:rRNA from 1 species